AAGAAAGGCAAAAAAAAAUAAAUAUACUUUUGAACUUGCGUAGCGAUCAUUUCUGGUAAAAAGGUGAAAACCUUUUUUCCCCCCAACCUCUGCGGAACCUGCGUAAGGAUCAUUUC
rnacentral:rRNA from 1 species